CAAGGCAAGAUUGUAUUGGAGCCGAAUGUACAGUCAUCUGAGGCAAAUCUGGACAUAUAGGAUGAAUAGGGACAGUUAUUUCAACUAUGCUUUCACUCAUUAGAUCAUAUUUUUAAUUUGUUGAUGUAUAAGCAUACAUAAACAAACAAGUUUCUGAAUUUUAAGAUUUUAUGUACUCUGAAAACUAAUGUCCUUACUUAGACUGUAGUCUCGAUUCGCCACAUUUCACUGAAGUUAUAUUUUAUGUACAGAAUUUGUUUUAGGAAGGUAUACUUUAUUUAUAAUCGUGCACAUAAAAGUGCAAAGUUGAAAUCAAUAUUUUUGAUCAAGUUAACAUUUGGUGGGGCUUUUGAUACCAUCAAAACAAGCAAGAAACUCGAUUUUCGUCCAAAUCGGACUACGCCCUUUUAUUUGACACCACCCUAAAGUUUCGCUUUUUCUGCAAACAAUGUUAAAAACGUUACUUAAUCCACCUUCAGGUGGUUGGUGCCUUCCUCACAUUCAUAUACACUCAACCCCCGGUGGUUGGUCACUUUUUCGUUUGACACUUUUUUAAUUUGUACCCCGUUGGUUGGUCAAAGUCAAACUAAAAAGUGACGAACUGUCACUUUUUACGCAGCGCUCACGCACACUAUCAAAACAAACGUUUAUUAGUGUCAAACCUUCGCGGUUCAAGUGUAGUACAUGCGAGUCAAAAAUCAAAAAAUUUGCGUUACGUAAUAAAAGCACGCUCCCAUUAAUAUCAUGUGCGAUGAUUUAGUAUUAAAUAAAAAUUUACCAAAUUUUAAGCGAAUCACUUGACAGUGCAGCGAAGACGUCAUUGAAAAACAUCGAAAAAAAAUUGUCUGCGGAGUUGUUUCGAGCGAUUUUUUCAUAAUUCGGCACAAAUUCAGCGAAAAAAUGCAUAAAUCGAUGGAAAAGGCGAGAAACCCAUUCUUCCAAAUGGUCAAAGAAAUCUGCAGCUUCUCAAGAGUUUAUCGUUUCUGGAUCCGGCUCGGAGAACCGUAUUUUGCCUAGAGACCCUAAAUAGGGAGACUGGUCUAAGCUUGAUAAAUCGAUCUGGCAACGUAUGUUUUGAGCUUGGCAACACUGAUCAGUUUUGCUGGGCGUAAAGGCAAAUGCUCGUUUGGAUACGUCAAACUCGCGUCUGUUUGGGUACGUCAAAUUCACUUCGUCCAGUCUCCCUAUUUAGGAUCUCUAAUUUUGCCUCACCAGCUGGACCAAAAUGACACUGCCGAGUGGACGACUUGGGGCAAUGAAUUCUGCUGCAGGGAAUAUAUUAACGGAAAAAUGUGAAAGAGUGUUGGUUCUUAUGACGAUGCUGAACUGCGCCUAACACGGACCGUUUCCCGCUGUAACCGAGUUCCGGUUCUACUCCAAGUGAAGAAUGUUCAGCCCGGAUUGUUACGAUUGAGCUGAUUCUUCGAGAGGGCCAGCUUCAAGCUGCUAAAUGAGCGUGGCAAGGAUAUCGGUUGUAUUGAAGAUUCGUGAUGGUUCCGAGGUGAAAUUUGAAGUCGGAGCAAUAAAAUAAAGU